GUAGAAACCAAAUAUCAGCCUUUUUUUUUUUAAUUCCCAGGUGAUUUUGAUAUGCUGCUAAGGUUUGAUAAGAGAAAUGAGAUUCAGAGAACAGAUUAUAUUGUUGAAGAGCUUGACUGGAAAUGAUCCAAACGGAAACAUUGGCUCUUCCUGGGGUUCCAGCCUGCUGUCUUGACGGGAACUAUACCAUCAGCUCUCCUGGGUCUCUUACAUGCCAAGUCAUCCUGCAGAUCUGGGACUCACUCCAUAAUCAAGAAUGCCACCAAUUCAGCACUUAAAAAAUUCUGGGCCAGGUGUGGUGGCUCACACCUGUAAUCCUAGUACUUUGGGAGGCCAAGACCGGCAGACCACUGGAGGCCAGAAGUUUGAGACCAGCCUGGCCAACAUGGUGAAACCCUGUCUCUACUAAAAAUACAAAAGUUAGCCAGGUGUGGUGGCACACACUUGUAAACCCAGCUACUUGGGAGGCUGAGGCAAGAGAAUUGUUUGAACCCAAGAGACAAGAGUUGCAGUGAGCCGAGAUCAUGCCACCUCACUCCAGCCUGGGCAACAGAGCAAGACCCUGUCUCAAAAAAAAAAAAAGGCUAGGCACGGUGGCUCACACCUAUAAUCCCAGCACUUUGGGAGGCCAAGGCAGGCAGAUCACCUGAGAUCGGGAGUUCGAGACCAGCCUGACCAACAUGGAGAAACCCUGUCUCUACUGAAAAUACAAAAUUAGCCAGUCAUGUUGGCAUAUGCCUGUAACCCCAGCUACUCAGUAGGCUGAGGCAGGAGAAUCGCUUGAACCUGGGAGGCGGAGGUUACGAUGAGCCAAGAUUGCGCCGUUGCACUCCAGCCUAGGCAACAAAAGCGAAACUCCGUCUCAAAAAAAAAAAAAAAAAAAAGUCUGCCAUGUUUUCCAGUUGCCUUCGUACCUGUCUCAUAUAAUGGGAAGAUUCUGGAGGGCAGCAAUGGUGCUUUGCUGUUUUCAUAUAUCCCUUCUUUAACCCAAGAAUCUUUCCUGUAAUAGAAUUUCAAAAAUGUAGAAUCCAGCUGAGUGUUUAUCUUUGUUCUGGAUUCUCAAGCCAUUUAAAGGCAGCAGGCUGUCAUGAUUUUCCACACAAAAGGGCAGAAACGGGAUUAACACAAUAGGAUGCUGUCUCUACUCUCAUCUACCCUGUCCAAGGAAUUUAAUUUCCUAUAAGCCUACCUCCAAUUCUCCUUGGGAAGUUAUAUUUAAGAACCUUAAUGCUUCAGACCCUCUUUUGACAUUAAAUCUUUGUCUGCUGAAUGCUAACAAUCUUGAGG
rnacentral:lncRNA from 1 species